GAUGAACGCUGGCGGCGUGCCUAAUACAUGCAGGUCGAGCGAACAGACGAGGAGCUUGCUCCUCUGACGUUAGCGGCGGACGGGUGAGUAACACGUGGAUAACCUACCUAUAAGACUGGGAUAACUUCGGGAAACCGGAGCUAAUACCGGAUAAUAUAUUGAACCGCAUGGUUCAAUAGUGAAAGACGGUUUUGCUGUCACUUAUAGAUGGAUCCGCGCCGCAUUAGCUAGUUGGUAAGGUAACGGCUUACCAAGGCAACGAUGCGUAGCCGACCUGAGAGGGUGAUCGGCCACACUGGAACUGAGACACGGUCCAGACUCCUACGGGAGGCAGCAGUAGGGAAUCUUCCGCAAUGGGCGAAAGCCUGACGGAGCAACGCCGCGUGAGUGAUGAAGGUCUUCGGAUCGUAAAACUCUGUUAUUAGGGAAGUACAAAUGUGUAAGUAACUAUGCACGUCUUGACGGUACCUAAUCAGAAAGCCACGGCUAACUACGUG
rnacentral:rRNA from 1 species